GGAUGCCUUGGCAGUCAGAGGCGAUGAAAGACGUGGUAGCCUGCGAAAAGCUUCGGGGAGUCGGCAAACAGACUUUGAUCCGGAGAUGUCUGAAUGGGGGAACCCAGCCAUCAUAAGAUGGUUAUCUUGUACUGAAUACAUAGGUGCAAGAGGCGAMCCAGGGGAACUGAAACAUCUAAGUACCCUGAGGAAAAGAAAUCAACCGAGAUUCCCUUAGUAGYGGCGAGCGAACGGGGACUAGCCCUUAAGUGGCUUUGAGAUUAGCGGAACGCUCUGGAAAGUGCGUCCAUAGUGGGUGAUAGCCCUGUACGCGAAAAUCUCU
rnacentral:rRNA from 1 species